UAAUAAUAAUAAUAAUAAUAAUAAUAAUAAUAAUAAUAAUAAUAAUAAUAAUAAUAAUAAUAAUAAUAAUAAUAAUAAUAAUAAUAAUAAUAAUAAUAAUAAUAAUAAUAAUAAUAAUAAUGUCAGACUCCCCUGAAUGGGAGGGGACAAGUGAGAUGUAUCAGACAAGUGGAGGAAAGGAUUUUGCACCGAUUUGCGUUUGGGACUCAGAGGAGUUCACUUUGCAGGCUGACCCAGCAGUCUCUUUGGGCAGAGGGAUGGCUGAAGUUUAGGAACUUAGCUUUCUGGAGCUGAUCGUGGCUCCUGCUGUGCUGUGACCCUCCAGAGGCUGCAUCCCCAGAAAUGGACCCCCAAAGCAGAGCACAGAAGGAAGAGCAGACCAGACAGACACAGCGGAGUAACUCAUAAGAGCUGUCACUGAGGUGAGCAGGUCCUUCUCAAGUCUGUCAUGCCCUCCACGAGUGAUGCCAGGCUCCAUUCUCCUUUAACAACACAGGCCCCCUUUUCCAGGGCCUGAGCCAUGCAUACAAUGCUGUAGCAUCCUUUAGGGCUGGAGAAAAUCACAAACACAUUAGAGCUACUCUGCUUUCAUUGCUUCCGUAGCCUUCUGGGACCUCACUGUUGUGCAGGAUGCUUUUUUUGGGGAGGCUGUGGUUCCUCCCCCAGUUCCUUCUGAAGGCAUCUCAGGAUUAUACCUCUCUCCUUCCAUCCUCUACGAUACACCUAUCCCUUCAGUCCUAGCCAAAGCACGUUCCCAUUCUGAAGUGAGAUCUAUCAGGCAGUGAGAGGGAGGGAGAAGGGGCUGUGUGCCGGAAGGGGGUGAGCCAUUCUGUUGUCAUGGCAACAUUCUUCUGCAGCUCCUCACUGGGUCACUCAGUCUCAGGCGUCAGCUUGCCUGAAGGUCCAGGAUAGAUGGGAAAGCACUUGUCUCCCUCUCCUUGUCUUUUUGUGAUGAGACGUUGAGAUGAUUUAAAAAGAGAAAAAUGGUUACCAGGGUAACUGAAGCUUCAUCCAUCUGACUCAAGAGGAAAAAAGCCCAAGCCACAAAAGGGAGUAGAAACUAAACCACAGGAUGUAUUGUGGGAGGCCACCCAUAGAGAAAGGGUCCUGACUGUCAAUAAAUGUGCUUGUUACACACGCACACGCGGAUACAGAGGAGCACUGCUUCCAGCCCAGAGCAGCACACUGACUGAGGCAAUAGAACCCCCCAGUACCGCUUCCCCUCCGCGCCUGGUAAUCACUACGUGUGGAGAAAAGCCAAAAAGCAGACGACUUAGAGACGCAGACAUCCAAGUUGGUGAAGAACCUCGGCAGCAGUUUAAGAAAAGCAGGUUGAAAGGUAGAAAGAUUUUAUCCCAGGGCUGCAUGUUUUAUUGGGUCCCUAACACGUAGAAAAAACCUAUUUCCAGCCAGGGCAGCCAAAAGCGCGCAUGCGUAAAAGGAAGGUCCUGUGUUUGGUUUUUUUUUUUUUGUUUUUUUUUUUUUUUUUUUUUGUUUUUUUUUUUUUGCUAACUUCUCCAGUCCAGCUUCUAUCAGCCUGCCCCCCAAAUGAAAACAGCUGUCAAGGGCACCAGUGAAUCCCUUUGAUGAUGUCCUCUCCUCAACCUACUGUACCUCUCAGAUAGCUCUGGUACACUUAACAAUUGCCUGGUUCUUGAAAAUGUCCCUCCCUCCCUUUCUUCUAAUUUGUAUUUUGGCCUAUUU
ensembl:lncRNA